CAGACACUCAGUACUAGGUUCCCUUCGGAUCACCACGUUUCCUUGAAGGAUGUUGACAAACUAGAGUUGGUUGCAGAUGCGGCUGCACGGGAUGGUGAAGAAAGGUGUGCCGGUGAAGGUGUAAUCUAAGACCCACUGCUCCGUGUGCCAGGGAGUUUCUCUACCACAAUGGGCUUCGGACGGCGUUAGAACGUGUUAAGAUACAGAUUCCUGGGCCCCCUUCCAGACCGGAAAUCAGGGCCUCUGCAGUGAAGCCUGGGGGUGCGUGUGUUUCCAUGAGCUCCACAGGUGAUUCCGAAGGGCCAUCAGGACGGACAGCAAGUGCUCCGUGGGCUGGGGGCCACCCCACGGCCGUUGCCGACUUGCAGCUGGGACAGUUCUAAGAAAUAUUUGGGUCACAUCCCUGAAAGUGGACAGAGACAUUUUCUUCUCUGGAAAUUGGCCCAGCCAGCCCAAAGAGGAAACACCUAAAGAUAUCGACAUGGAAUUUCCCUAACCAAAUGGCCCAGCCACAUCACUCUACGGGGAGACACAAAGGUCAACAAGUGUCACCCACGAGCACAGACUCUCAUCAUUCUUAGUGACAUGUACUUUCAAGAUGCACAGCAGGAAAAGAAUUGGAGCUCAGCUAUGUGUAUGGAUCACUGGGCAGACCUCAGAAUCAACACUGACUAAAAGAAGUAAGUCACAAAGGGACAUACAUUUCACCUACGCGACUCCCCGGUGAGUUCCUCCGCCUGGAAGAAAUGUAACUUUCCAGGUCUGACUCCGCACUUGUGUUUCUACCUGAUGUGGCUUUGGGAACUCUCUCACCACCAAUGUCCGGGACUUAGCCCAUCCGGCCACAAACGGAAAGAGCCUAGAGAAGCCAGCGCUUGAAGCCAGCUGGUUAAAGGUGCACCUGGCACCUUCACAUGACAGAGUUCAGCUCUGUUCCCAAACACGAGCCAGGGGUUUCAUGCAGAAUUCCACUCUUAGGCUGUUUAUUUCUCCUGGGUCUUUCACGCUGUGUUCAGGGCUCUGGCAAGGCCUUCAGAUGCGGAAAGGCAGCCAU